rnacentral:piRNA from 1 species
GUGUGAAUUGCUAACAGAUCCAAGAAG